rnacentral:rRNA from 1 species
CCUACGGGAGGCAGCAGUGGGGAAUAUUGGGCAAUGGGCGCAAGCCUGACCCAGCAACGCCGCGUGAAGGAAGAAGGCUUUCGGGUUGUAAAAUUCUUUUCACAGGGACGAAGAAAAUGACGGUACCUGAGGAAUAAGCCACGGCUAACUACGUGCCAUCAGCCGCGGUAAUACGUAGGUGGCAAGCGUUAUCCGGAUUUACUGGGUGUAAAGGGGGUGUAGGCGGGGAAGAAAGUCAGGUGGGAAAACCACGGGCUCAACCUGGGGCCUGCAGUUGAAACUGUUUGUCUUGAGUACUGGAGAGGCAGACGGAAUUCCUAGUGUAGCGGUGAAAUGCGUAGAUAUUAGGAGGAACACCAGUGGCGAAGGCGGUCUGCUGGACAGCAACUGACGCUGAGGCGCGAAAGCGUGGGGAGCAAACAGGAUUAGAUACCCGUGUAGUC